GACGAACGCUGGCGGCGUGCUUAACACAUGCAAGUCGAACGGUGAAGCGCUUGCCUUUUUGGUGGGUGUGGAUGAGUGGCGAACGGGUGAGUAACACGUGAGUAACCUGCCCUCUUCUUCUGGAUAACCUCAUGAAAGUGGGGCUAAUACGGGGUAUUCCGGGUCUGUCGCAUGGCGGGUUUGGGAAAGAUUGCGCCUUUGGGUGUUUUCGGUGGGGGAUGGGCUCGCGGCCUAUCAGCUUGUUGGUGGGGUGAUGGCCUACCAAGGCGGUGACGGGUAGCCGGCAUGAGAGGGUGGACGGCCACACUGGGACUGAGACACGGCCCAGACUCCUGCGGGAGGCAGCAGUGGGGAAUAUUGCACAAUGGGCGCAAGCCUGAUGCAGCGACGCCGCGUGAGGGAUGGAGGCCUUCGGGUUGUGAACCUCUUUCGCCAGUGAAGCAGGCCUGCUCCUGUGUGGGUGGGUUGACGGUAGCUGGAGAAGAAGCGCCGGCUAACUACGUG
rnacentral:rRNA from 1 species